AGUGACAAUAUAAUAAGAACAAAAAAAGAAUAACAGAAAUUACUAAAAUAUAUAAUAGUUAUUAAAACUUAUUCAAAUAGAGUAACAUUAUAAUUAUGACAAUUUCAUCUAACACUGUAUUUUGCAUGUGCAAGAGUAAGGAUCGGGAUCACAAUGACAAUCAGAAUAGGGUGUUCCAAGCGGGUCAUGUCUUAUGAACGCAUUGCGGCAAUCAUCUGCACCUCCACAGACAUGGUCAAGCUUCAAGUGAUCCCAACAAUAGUGUGGUGGGGGGUCACCUAAAAACAUUGGAACCACUGAAUUAUACCAAGUAUUGGGAAAAUAGAUAUAAUGGUAAGAAUAUGAAGAUUUGUUUUUAAAAAAAAUUAUGAAAAUUAAAAGGGAUAGACCCAUAAUAAAAUCUCGACAUUUUCCUCACCUUACAAAUUUUAGUGACCUACUAGUAUAAAAUUCUAACAUCAAAAACAUUAGGCCAACUUUUAUCGUCACAGAAUAGAAGAAUAACUAUGUUUGGAUAGCAAUUUUUUCCAAAAAAAAUUUUCGCUUGCAUAAUAAACACAUUUUCCAAUCCAUUUUUUUUUUUUACAUUUCCAACCACCUUUUUAUUUCACAUACAUCACAUCACAAAAAGUACUACAGUAAUUAUUCCAAAUAAUUAUUUGGAAAAAUACUCUAUCCAAACAAAUUAAAAUUGCAUUUCCGGAAGGAUUUUACAGGUCCAAAAGAAACCCUUAUUUGUUUUAUUCAGUUUAGUCAAAUUCACCUUCUAUUCAUGGUAUAAUAUGCAGUGAAAUACCUAUGAAUAAAUAAACUUCAUGCAUUAAACAAACUAUAUAUUCCCCUUUUGCAUGUGUAAUUGAUGAAGACAAGAUAAGGUUUUAUUUCUUCUUUGGUAAAAAAAAAAAUGCCUCUAAAACUUCACACAAAGGUAUGCUGUUCUAAUCAGGAUAAGAUCCAAUUAAGGGUUGAUUAAAAUAGAACAUAUCAGUAUUGACCUGCAUUUGACAUGUUUAAACUAAAGGCCAAAAUUUUGAGGAUUAGAUAACAAAGUAAAAAAUUUUUCCUAGAGAUUUCAUAUACGUACCUUCACUGGCAGGAGCUGCUGGGCUAAGGAGACUUUGAAAAAUUAAGAGACAAAGCAUCAGAAGAGUCAUAGAGUUCUUCAUUGUCAUUCUGUUUCUUGCAAU
rnacentral:lncRNA from 1 species